rnacentral:rRNA from 1 species
AUUGAACGCUGGCGGCAUGCCUUACACAUGCAAGUCGAACGGCAGCGGGGGAGAAGCUUGCUUUUCCUGCCGGCGAGUGGCGAACGGGUGAGUAAUACAUCGGAACGUGCCCUGUAGUGGGGGAUAACUAGUCGAAAGAUUAGCUAAUACCGCAUACGACCUGAGGGUGAAAGUGGGGGACCGCAAGGCCUCAUGCUAUAGGAGCGGCCGAUGUCUGAUUAGCUAGUUGGUGGGGUAAAGGCCUACCAAGGGGACGAUCAGUAGCUGGUCUGGGAGGACGAUCAGCCACACUGGGACUGGGACACGGCCCAGACUCCUACGGGAGGCAGCAGUGGGGAAUUUUGGACAAUGGGCGAAAGCCUGAUCCAGCAAUGCCGCGUGUGUGAAGAAGGCCUUCGCGUUGUAAAGCACUUUUGUCCGGAAAGAAAUGGCUCUGGUUAAUACCUGGGGUCGAUGACGGUACCGGAAGAAUAAGGACCGGCUAACUACGUGCCAGCAGCCGCGGUAA